UAUAGAUUUAUAGGCACAAAGGCCCAUUAAUUGCAUUCUAUAAACAUACAUCAGGGUAUAUAAAGAAACAUAGACCUGGAAAUGUAAGAAGAGACAUAAAGUCAAUCCUCAAUCCUGAGUGCUAAGCAAUCAGAGAGAUACCCAAGGUCUACAAAAGAUGCACAGGUGAAGAUACAAAGAUGACAAGUGUGCACCAUGCUCCCUAGAGAACCAGCAACAACUCAUCAAGUUUAUUUCAAUAAUGAUCCUUCCGCAGGUUCACCUACGGAAA
rnacentral:misc_RNA from 1 species